UACGGAGGGGGCUAGCGUUGUUCGGAAUUACUGGGCGUAAAGCGCACGUAGGCGGACUGUUAAGUCGGGGGUGAAAUCCUGGGGCUCAACCUCAGAAUUGCCUCCGAUACUGGCAGUCUCGAGUGCGGGAGAGGUGAGUGGAAUUCCCAGUGUAGAGGUGAAAUUCGUAGAUAUUGGGAAGAACACCUGCGGCGAAGGCGGGUUGCUGGGCUGACACUGACGCUGAGGCGCGAAAGCUAGGGGAGCGAACGGG
rnacentral:rRNA from 1 species